rnacentral:tRNA from 1 species
GGGAAUGUAGCUCAGUGGUGGAGCAUUUGCCUUGCAACCAUGAGGCCCUGGGUUCAAUUCCUCGGCACCA